UUAAGUUGCAGGGUAUAGACCCGAAACCCGGUGAUCUAGCCAUGGGCAGGUUGAAGGUUGGGUAACACUAACUGGAGGACCGAACCGACUAAUGUUGAAAAAUUAGCGGAUGACUUGUGGCUGGGGGUGAAAGGCCAAUCAAACCGGGAGAUAGCUGGUUCUCCCCGAAAGCUAUUUAGGUAGCGCCUCGUGAAUUCAUCUCCGGGGGUAGAGCACUGUUUCGGCAAGGGGGUCAUCCCGACUUACCAACCCGAUGCAAACUGCGAAUACCGGAGAAUGUUAUCACGGGAGACACACGGCGGGUGCUAACGUCCGUCGUGAAGAGGGAAACAACCCAGACCGCCAGCUAAGGUCCCAAAGUCAUGGUUAAGUGGGAAACGAUGUGGGAAGGCCCAGACAGCCAGGAUGUUGGCUUAGAAGCAGUCAUCAUUUAAAGAAAGCGUAAUAGCUCACUGGUCGAGUCGGCCUGCGCGGAAGAUGUAACGGGGCUAAACCAUGCACCGAAGCUGCGGCAGCGACGCUGAUGCGUUGUUGGGUAGGGGAGCGUUCUGUAAGCCUGUGAAGGUGUACUGUGAGGUAUGCUGGAGGUAUCAGAAGUGCGAAUGCUGACAUAAGUAACGAUAAAGCGGGUGAAAAGCCCGCUCGCCGGAAGACCAAGGGUUCCUGUCCAACGUUAAUCGGGGCAGGGUGAGUCGACCCCUAAGGCGAGGCCGAAAGGCGUAGUCGAUGGGAAACAGGUUAAUAUUCCUGUACUUGGUGUUACUGCGAAGGGGGGACGGAGAAGGCUAUGUUGGCCGGGCGACGGUUGUCCCGGUUUAAGCGUGUAGGCUGGUUUUCCAGGCAAAUC
rnacentral:rRNA from 1 species